rnacentral:misc_RNA from 1 species
UCCGAGUUGUCCCCGGCAGUCCCCUUAGAGUCCCCGGCUUUACCCGCUGGCAACUAAGGGCAGGGGUUGCGCUCGUUGCGGCACUUAAGCCAACACCUCACGACACGAGCUGACGACAGCCAUGCACCACCUGUGAAAGUGUCCCGAAGGAAGACCGUGUUUCCACGGCUGUCACUUACAUGUCAAGCCCAGGUAAGGUUCUUCGCGUUGCGUCGAAUUAAACCACACGCUCCGCUGCUUGUGCGGGCCCCCGUCAAUUCCUUUGAGUUUUAGCCUUGCGACCGUACUUCCCAGGCGGCACAUUUAACGCGUUAGCUUCGCCACAAAAGGGGUCGAUUCCUUUUACAGCAAAUGUGCACCGUUUACAGCUAGGACUAC